AUGGCGAGCGCCAACGUCCUCCUCCUCCCGGAGCCCGGCUCGGGCCACCUCAUGUCGCUCAUCGAGGCCGGCAAGCGGCUGCUCGCUCACGGCGGAGACGGGCUCACCGUCACCGUGCUGAUUGUCCGGCCAGCGACGCCCGAGUCGGCCUCCGAGGUCGACUCGCACGUCCGGCGCGUCGCGGCCUCCGCCUCUGGGCUCGGCAUCCGGUUCCACCACCUCCCCGCCGUCGACCCGCCCACGGACUGCGCCGGCAACCUUCAGGAGUUCAAGUCCCGCUACAUGCAGCUGCACGCGCCCCACGUCAGGGUCGCCGUGGCGGAACUCGGCGCCGCGGCGCUCGUCAUAGACUUCUUCGCCACCGCCGUCAUCGACGUGGCGCACGAGUUCGCCGUGCCCACGUACGUCUACUUCACGUCCACGGCCGCGCUGCUCGCGCUCACUCUGCGCCUGCCGGCGCUGGCCGUCGACUCCGACGCGUCCGACGACGGCGCGGUGGAAGUCCCGGGCAUGCCGCCGGUUCCCGCGGGGUCUGUUCCGGGGUUUCUGGGCGAUAAGGAGAGCCCUAACUACGCGUGGUUCGUGUACCACGGCCGUCGCUUCAUGGACGCCGACGGCAUCAUCAUUAAUACGGUGGACGCGCUCGAGCCCGGACUUCUCGCCGCGAUAGCCGGAGGCCAGUGCGUGCCUGGACGACGCGCGCCGCCGCUAUACCCGAUCGGUCCAGUGAUCGACCACGCCGUGGAAGCGUCGAACGAGCCCUGCGUCCGGUGGCUCGACGCGCAGCCUCGGGCGUCGGUGGUGUUCCUUUGCUUCGGGAGCCUGGGAUGGUUCGACAGAGCCAAGGCGCACGAGGUGGCCGCGGGGCUGGAGCGCAGCGGGCACCGCUUCCUGUGGACGCUGCGCGGCCCUCCGGCCGCCGGCUCGCGGCACCCGACGGACGCGAACCUGGACGAGCUCCUCCCGGAGGGGUUCCUGGAGCGGACGGAGGGGCGGGGCCUGGUGUGGCCAACGCGGGCCCCGCAGAAGGAGAUACUCGCGCACGCCGCCGUCGGCUGCUUCGUGACGCACUGCGGGUGGAACUCGACGCUGGAGAGCAUGUGGCACGGCGUGCCGCUGGUGCCGUGGCCGCUGUACGCGGAGCAGCAUCUGAACGCGUUCGAGCUCGUGUCCGUCGUCGGCGUGGCCGUGGCGAUGGAGGUGGACAGGGAGCGGGACAACUUCGUGGAGGCGGCGGAGCUUGAGCGGGCGUUGAGACGCGUGAUGUGCGGCGGGUCGGAGGAGGAGGGCGCCAUGGCGAGGGAGAAGGCCAUGAAGAUGAAGGCCGCGUGCAGGCGGGCCGUGGAGGAGGGCGGCUCGUCCCACGCUGCGUUGCAGAGGCUGCGCCAUGCAAUUCGCAGCGGUACAACGACGUGCAACGGCGCAGCGCCUCCCAAGGAGACGACGUCGUGA
rnacentral:rRNA from 1 species